rnacentral:lncRNA from 1 species
AGUAAAAAUACGAUUUUCUUUUAAGGAGAGAAAAGAGUGAAAUAGAGAAAAGGAAGAGAUAGAGAGAAAAAGGAGAAAACAUGAAGAAAUUCACUACAACACUUUUUACUUUAGGCAACGAAAUAAUAGGCAAUGGUUGAAAAACCGUAACUUAAAAGGUAAUAGACCGCGAUUUUUUAGCCGUUGACAAGUUUUUAAAUUUUUGGUUAAAACU